rnacentral:rRNA from 1 species
GACGUAGGUGGCGAACGUUAUCCGGAAUUAUUGGGCAUAAAGGGUGCGUAGGUGGCCUGACAAGUUAUCAGUGGCAAAUCGAGGCUCAACCUCGUGGAAACUGGUAAUACUGUCCGGCUUGAGUACAGGAGAGGUUAACGGAACUCUAUGUGGAGCGGUAAAAUGCAAAGAUAUAUAGAAGAACAUCAAUAACGGCGAAGGCAGUUAACUAUUCUGUUACUGACACUGAGGCACGAAAGCGUGGGGAGCAAAACGG